AUCUACAGAACACCGAAUUCCUGAAGGACAUCAAAUCCAUCAUUGACAGGUCUGGUGUUGACAUCAAGAAACCCACAAAAGUGUCUGUUGAUGUGGCUGAGAGGGACCUCAUUGGGCCUCUGCAGAGCAAAGAGUGGAAACGGUUGUUAA